rnacentral:rRNA from 1 species
GCUUNCAAUUUAUACACGUGAAACUGCGAAUGGCUCAUUAAAUCAGUUAUCGUUUAUUUGAUAGUUCCUUUACUACAUGGUAUAACUGUGGUAAUUCUAGAGCUAAUACAUGCUUAAAAUCUCGACCCUUUGGAAGAGAUGUAUUUAUUAKAUAAAAAAUCAAUGUCUUCGGACUCUUUGAUGAUUCAUAAUAACUUUUCRAAUCGCAUGGCCUUGUGCUGGCRAUGGUUCAUUCAAAUUUCUGCCCUAUCAACUUUCGAUGGUAGGAUARUGGCCUACCAUGGUUUCAACGGGUAACGGGGAAUAAGGGUUCGAUUCCGGASAGGGAGCCUGASAAACGGCUACCACAUCCAAGGAAGGCAGCAGGCKCRCAAAUUACCCAAUCCUAAUUCAGGGAGGUAGUGACAAUAAAUAACKAUACAGGGCCCAUUCRGGUCUUGUAAUUGGAAUGARUACAAUGUAAAUACCUUAACGAGGAACAA